rnacentral:other from 1 species
AAAGCUCUGCCAUGUGCGUGUUUGAAAGUAGAAUAUUUUUAGAACCGAUACCUUUAAACCCGAGGGCCCUUCUUUGUUAGUGGUGCACAUGCUGCCAAUCCGCCUUAGGCGAACUGGAAGAAGUGCUGAAGCUAUCAUAGGGCACCUAACUUAAAAUGCGGGUUCAAAAAUAUACUUUCUCACGGCAUUGCGGUGGAGCUUUA